GGCCCUAUAGUGUAGUAGUUAGCACGCCGGCUUAUCUUUAAGCUAGGAGGCCUAGGUUCGACUCCUAGUAAGGCUU